AAAAACAAGAAAAGGGGGUUUGAAUUGUUUUCACAAUAAUCAAAAGCUUUUGCAACACCACUCACACGCAAAAUAAAUGCUAACAACACAAGAAAUUUAUCUUAGUUCGAUUGAAAGACAAAGCUACUUCAGCCCACCCGGUCAAGGUGAUUUUGACUUCAACAAGGACUUAAUCCAAUAAUCUCAAAAGAUUACAAUAACAUCUAAGAGUUUAACAAUUUCUU
rnacentral:lncRNA from 1 species